GGGACUCAGCUGAUUUCUAUCACCUGGAAACGGAGGCUGAGCUAUUUCAAUGCAGGCCAGCUGCUGGAAGAUUGUAUCUCACUCAUUAGGUUUGGCUUUUCUUUGCAGUACUGAGCCCUAGCUUUUUUUUUUUUUUUUUUUUUUUUUUUUUUUUUCUCUUCUUUAACAGGUUGUUUCUGUAUGUGUGUUCCUGUUGCUGGAUGAGGUAUGCAGCUGAUGUGUUGCUUUUGCUGUGCUCAGAAAUCCAAAGCUAUCCCCAAAAUGCAUGAAAGGAGAUGGUAUUGCUUCUGUUUUAAAUGUGCUUUUGAGGAACUUCAGGAGUUACCUGUAAACGUUCCUCAGGUUUCUCAAAGUUUAUCAGCUCACUAUGGAGAAGAAGGUUUAUGGUUUCUCCUGCUGUGGCAGACACUCUGGCUUUGUGUUUUCUGCACACCUUGCAUUUAUCCUGCUGGAGAUAAAGGGUUGUCAAAAGUUUGAGGAAUCCCAGUAUUUCUUACAAACUCAUCCCAUUUAAUCCUCAGGGUUUUGUUUUGUUUGCCUUGGGCCUUUGCUUCCCACAGCAUUGAGAUAUCUUCUUUAUACCUUUGGUGGUUUUCCAGCACUCACGUCUGUGUGGAAAGGUGGAAAGGAUGCCUGAGCUGAAGAGCCAGAGUUUGAUCUGUCAGUUGUAGGUUUUCAGUGAUCCAGGCUCCUGAAUAUCAGCAGCUCCCAUGCCAGUUUGUGACAUAAUUUCCUGCUGAAUUUCCACACUGAUCACGAGUCCGCUAAGGCAUAUAAAUAAGUUCACCUUUUGUAACCUUCUGCCCUCUAAAAGGCGAGCCUCGAACUGGAAGCUGCUGGGAAUCUCAUUCUCUUCUUAUUUUCAACACAAGCUAUUAACCUCGCGUUGGUUUUUGUAAUGUGGACAAUGGUUUUGUUUCUUCCUGCAGAGCAGUUGAACUGUUGCGUAUUUUCAUCAUCUGCUCCAGAGCUGUCUCUGCUUUCCCUUAAAGGAGUUAGUGGUGAUGCCACAUAGGAGGGGUGAUGGAAUUCAUCCUUAUCUCAUGUUAGUAUCUGCUUCAACCCAUAAAAAAGCAGUGGGACCCACGUAGGCUGCCCUCUGACCAACAAAAGAUGUGAUGAUGUUGAUUAUUUUCCUUGGACUACCCCAAUACUUCAGGGUGUCCCAAAGUGAAUCAUAAGGAAGUCUGUGAAAUUCCUUCUCAAAAUCUGCUCGGUGUGGGAUUUGCCAUUGGAUACUUAAUCUGAUAGUUAUCCUGAGGAUGAAAUAUCAGUUUGACACAUGAUCUUCCCAAGUCCAAGUGAUCCUUGCCAAAACAGAAAAUAAAAGCAUUGAAGCAGCAUUUUUGAACUGAGCU
rnacentral:lncRNA from 1 species